rnacentral:rRNA from 1 species
UACGUAGGGGGCAAGCGUUGUCCGGAAUCAUUGGGCGUAAAGCGCGCGUAGGCGGCCCUGUAAGUCCGUUGUGAAAGUCGAAGGCUCAACCUUCGAAAGCCGAUGGAUACUGCAGGGCUAGAGUCCGGAAGAGGCGAGUGGAAUUCCUGGUGUAGCGGUGGAAUGCGCAGAUAUCAGGAGGAACACCGGUGGCGAAGGCGGUUCUCUGGGCAUUACCUGACGCUGAGGAGCGAAAGCAUGGGGAGCGAACAGG